rnacentral:rRNA from 1 species
AAGUAUAUGCAUAUUUUAUAUGUAGAAACUGCGAACGGCUCAUUAAAACAGUUAUAAUCUACUUGACAUUUUCUAUAUAAGGAUAACUACGGAAAAGCUGUAGCUAAUACUUGCUUUAGCACUCUUGAUUUAUUUCUUGAGUGUGUACUUGUUAAGCCUUAUAAGAAAAGAGUUAUUAACUUAAGGAAUUAUAACAAAGAAGUAACACGUAAUGGAUCAUUCCAUUUUUAGUGUGUAUCAAUCGAGUUUCUGACCUAUCAGCUUUUGAUGUUAGGGUAUUGGCCUAACAUGGCUAUGACGGGUAACGGGGAAUUAGAGUUCGAUUCCGGAGAGGGAGCCUGAGAAAUAGCUACCACAUCUAAGGAAGGCAGCAGGCGCGUAAAUUACCCAAUUCUAAAGAAGAGAGGUAGUGACAAGAAAUAACAAUACAAGGCCAAUCUGGCUUUGUAAUUGGAAUGAUGGGAAUUUAAAACCUUCCCAAAAUUCAAUUGGAGGGCAAGUCUGGUGCCAGCAGCCGCGGUAAUUCCAGCUCCAAUAGCGUAUAUUAAAAUUGUUGCAGUUAAAACGCUCGUAGUUGAAUUUCAAAGAAUCGAUAUUUUAAGUAACGCUUCUAGCUAUAAAUCCACAUAACUGAUGCCUCCGCGUAUCGACUUUGUGCGCAUUUUAGCUAUUAUGUGUUCUUUUAAUUAAAAUGAUUCUUUUUAAGAUUCAUCUAUUAAAAAUUUGCUUCGGCAUAAUUUUUUUUGAUGAUCUUGUUACUUUGAGUAAAUUAGAGUGUUCAAAGCAAACAGAUAUAGCAUUUGUGCGUUUGAAUACUACAGCAUGGAAUAACAAAAUUGAACAAGUCAGAAUUUUUUUGUUCUUUUUUCUUAUUUUGGCUUAGUUACGAUUAAUAGGAGUAGCUUGGGGGCAUUUGUAUUCAGAUGUCAGAGGUGAAAUUCUUAGAUUUUCUGGAGACAAACAACUGCGAAAGCAUUUGCCUAAAAUACUUCCAUUAAUCAAGAACGAAAGUUAAGGGAGUGAAGACGAUCAGAUACCGUCGUAAUCUUAACCAUAAACUAUGCCGACUAGGCUUUGGAUGAAAGAUUUUAAAAUAAGAGUUUUUCUUUUCUCUCCGGAGAUUAGAACUCUUAGAUUGCUUCCUUCAGUGCCUUAUGAGAAAUCAAAGUCUUUGGGUUCUGGGGCGAGUAUUCGCGCAAGCGAGAAAGUUAAAAGAAUUGACGGAAGGGCACCACCAGGCGUGGAGCUUGCGGCUUAAUUUGACUCAACACGGGAAAACUCACUAGUUUAAGACAAGAGUAGGAUUGACAGAUUAAUAGCUCUUUCUUGAUUUCUUGGAUGGUGAUGCAUGGCCGUUUUUAGUUCGUGAAUAUGAUUUGUCUGGUUAAUUCCGAUAACGAACGAGAUCUUAACCUGCUAAUUAGCGGCAAAUACGAUAUAUUCUUAUGUAGAAUUGAAUAUAGUGGAUUUGUUGGAUUUUGAAGAAAAUAUUGGAAUUACGUUAAAUGUGAUUCCUUUCCCUUUUCUACUUAAUUUACAUUUCCAUCUAUUUCUUUUUUGCGUAUGAAUGUAUUUGCUUGAUUGUAAAGCUUCUUAGAGGAACGAUGUGUGUCUAACACAAG